UCGCCGCGUGCCGGCCGGG
rnacentral:snRNA from 1 species